AAACAUCUAGUAAACCAAUUCAGUAUUAAUUGUGUUUGUAAAGCAAUUGACAAGGUUAUGUACUAUAGACUACGCUCUAAAUUUAUACCAACUACAAAUUGGUCCCAGAACAGUUUCAUUUCAAGUGCCAGCCACUCAGAAGAACACAAUAUUUUGUAAACUGGUUGUUUCCAUCCUCAGGUUAAAAGAGACAGUAUUGACAAUUUUUACCCACUGCUUCUGUCUCUGCUGUUGAAAUCAGCAGGGACAUUCAGCCCCUUAGAGGUUCCAAAUGUGCUUGACUGGAUGGAGUUCCACCAUUAAUAAUUAAGGUUAUACAGCAUUCAGCGCAAAAAUAAUUUAUACAUCGCUUAAAAAAAAGAGUAAAGCUGUCCCUAUAUGUGCCAUGUAGGGCUCUAGCAAAAUAUAAAUCACUUAAUACUUUUUUCUACCUAUGGACCUACGGAAAAUCGAUACUGUGGGCAAUGGGCCAGUGUACAGCUGAAACAAUAAAAUUAUCCCAGGUGACCACUGCAAAUACAAGUUAAAUUCAGCGGGACGCAGUAGCUAAUAAACAUACCUACACAUUAUGAAAUAUUGUUACACAAUGAUUAUUUUACCAAAAUGCAAGAAUUUGGGUGUUUUAUUACUCUGACAACAGAAGCAACGUGAAGAUAAAAUUUCACUAAUGUUUACAAGAGUAUAUAUUUGAUGUAGGAGAAAUAUCUAAAAAUAUGCACAAUGCCCCAUACUAAACAGUAAAGUCCUAAUUAAACAACAUAUAUCACCCUAUAACAUCAUAACCAAGAUUUUGGUGCUAUAUUCACAUUUGCAGAUGUAUGUACAUAAAUGAGUAAUUUGUCACCUUCUGAUUGAACUUAUUACAUCUUAAAUAGUAUCUUUGAAUUCCUUCUGUUUCUAACAUCUAAACUAACUAAAACUAGUAUUGUUAGACACAAUACUCCAAAAUCAGCUUUACUGCUGCAUCAACUGAAGAUGUUAUGAA